GGGAAUUAGUGCAGGAAAAAAUGACACUUGUGAUUGAUAGAGCGUUGCACCAUUAUAUCCCAGAGGCAUUUAAGUGUUGUACCAUCCACUCUACAUCUGCAUCGGCUGAGGAGUCGAGUGAGACGUACUUGGCACCGUUGAGAAGCCUCUGAUUGGUGCCACUAUGGGAGGGGCAUAAGCUGGUCCCUGAUACCCCUGAGCUGCACCGUUGACCAUGGAACUGAUGACGGCGUUGUGCACAGUGUUGGUCAUCACCUUGGACUGGUCGAUCAUAGCCUG
rnacentral:lncRNA from 1 species